CCUACGGGAGGCAGCAGUGAGGAAUAUUGGUCAAUGGGCGGGAGCCUGAACCAGCCAAGUCGCGUGAGGGAAGACGGUCCUAUGGAUUGUAAACCUCUUUAGGCGGGGAGCAAUGCCGGGCACGCGUGCCCGGAGGGAGAGUACCCGCAGAAUAAGCAUCGGUUAACUCCGUGCCAGCAGCCGCGGUAAUACGGAGGAUGCGAGCGUUAUCCGGAUUUAUUGGGUUUAAAGGGUGCGUAGGCGGAUUUUUAAGUCAGCGGUAAAAUGUCCGGGCUCAACCCGGGCCGGCCGUUGAAACUGGGGAGCUUGAGUGGGCGAGAAGUAUGCAGAAUGCGUGGUGUAGCGGUGAAAUGCAUAGAGAUCACGCAGAACUCCGAUUGCGAAGGCAGCAUACCGGCGCCCGACUGACGCUGAGGCACGAAAGCGUGGGGAUCGAACAGGAUUAGAUACCCUUGUAGUC
rnacentral:rRNA from 1 species